UACGUAGGGUGCAAGCGUUGUCCGGAAUUAUUGGGCGUAAAGAGCUCGUAGGCGGUUUGUCGCGUCUGCUGUGAAAACUCGGGGCUUAACUCCGGGCCUGCAGUGGGUACGGGCAGACUAGAGUGCGGUAGGGGAGACUGGAAUUCCUGGUGUAGCGGUGAAAUGCGCAGAUAUCAGGAGGAACACCGGUGGCGAAGGCGGCUCUUUGGGCCUUACCUGACGCUGAGGAGCGAAAGCGUGGGUAGCGAACAGG
rnacentral:rRNA from 1 species